GGUGUGUUGUGGACUCGUGGUGCUGGCUGCUGCUUUUGAGGCGGCCGGGAUCGGGCGGUGGGAAACGAGCGGAGCUGGCCCUGCCUCUGUCCGGCCGGCGCCGCAGUCGGCGCGGGCCGCGCCCGCUGCCGUAAACUGCCCCGAGCGCCUGCUGGGGCCGAGGGAGACGUCGGGGCCUGCACCUGGAGGGAGCCUGCCGCGCUGGCCCCAAGGAGCGGGCGUUGCCAUGGCGACAGCCUCUCCUGCUGCUGACGGGGGGCGGGGGCGGCCCUGGGAAGGAGGACUGGUCUCCUGGCCCCCUGCCCCUCCCCUUACUCUCCCCUGGACUUGGAUGGGCCCGAGUUGGGGGCAACACCCUGGGCAUUGGGGCUUUCCAGCUUUCACAGAACCUUCAGCAUCCCCAGCUACCAGCCUUGGCAUCUUCGAAGUAAGGAGAGUUUUAGAUGCUUCUGGAUGUUCAAUGCUAGCACCUUUGCAGACUGGAGCAGCUCGAUUUUCUUCAUAUUUACUUUCAAGAGCAAGAAAAGUGCUGGGCUCCCACUUAUUUUCUCCCUGUGGUGUUCCGGAGUUCUGCUCCAUAUCCACCAGAAAGCUGGCGGCCCACGGCUUUGGCGCAUCCAUGGCAGCAAUGGUGUCCUUCCCUCCCCAGAGGUAUCACUACUUUUUAGUGCUGGACUUUGAGGCCACGUGUGACAAGCCACAGAUUCAACCUCAGGAAAUCAUCGAGUUCCCCAUCCUGAAGCUAAAUGGCCGGACCAUGGAGAUUGAGUCUACUUUUCACAUGUAUGUCCAGCCCGUAAUCCAUCCACAGCUUACUCCCUUCUGCACAGAGCUCACCGGGAUUAUUCAAGCCAUGGUGGAUGGUCAGCCCAGCCUGCAGCAAGUGCUGGAGAGAGUCGAUGAGUGGAUGGCGAAGGAAGGCCUCUUAGAUCCAAACGUCAAGUCAAUUUUUGUCACCUGUGGAGACUGGGACUUAAAAAUCAUGCUCCCGGGCCAGUGCCAGUACUUGGGCUUGCCAGUGGCAGAUUACUUCAAGCAGUGGAUUAAUCUGAAAAAGGCUUACAGCUUCGCCAUGGGCUGCUGGCCCAAGAACGGACUUCUAGACAUGAACAAGGGCCUCAGCCUCCAGCACAUAGGCCGGCCCCACAGCGGCAUUGUAACAUGGACUGUAUCCUGAGAUACAGCAGGAAACAACUUGAUCACCAGUCGCAACAACGAGACUCCACAAUUCCCAGUAAACAAGACCGGAAGUCAGUCCAAGUGGGUGAAGUGAGUGAUGGUGGGUUUCAUCAGGUGUGCCAGCCCACGUCAUCCAUGCCAUGGAUUGUCCAUUAUACACUUUCUCACCAUUGGGUCAUCCAGAAAGCUAGCAUCCCUGUUUUCCCUUCAAGAAGAGGCAUUCCAAACAGAAGGCACGUGCAGAGACCCGGUGCAUCACCUGUUACUCCUCAUAACCCUGAAGGCGCAUCCACUGUCACCUGAGGCUCAGAGAAACCAAGCAGGGCUGUCGCCAGUGGGCAGAGUUCAGACUUUAAAUCUGUCUAACUCCAGAACCUACUUUGUCAUUUUCAGAAAACAAUGACUGCAAGAACAUUGCCAACAUCAUGAAGACACUUGCAUAUCGAGGCUUCAUCUUCAAGCAGACCUCGAAGCCGUUCUGAUUGGCCGAGAACGGGAUGGGGCAAUACAGGGUAGCUGCUUGGCCCAACCCAGAACCCUCCUCUCCCUCACCAGAGGGGAAAAGGGAGAGUGGCACAGCUCUACGUCGAGUGUCCCCAGCCUGCCCUGCGGGCUUGUGCCCUGGGUAAGAGCUUGGCCACUUGGUCCCUCUGGAGCAGAUACUUUGUGGCCUCCCAUCCCCAUCCCACAACCUCAGCCCAGUAUUAGCCCCUCCCAUUAUGGGCCUGGGCUAGGGGGACCCAGGCACUUACUGCCUCUCCCUGGUACACAGGCUUCUGCUGGGGUCACCAAGCCCCCUGUGCCCCCUCCCAUCUGUAGUGCAUGGUGUGUGGUGCCCCCAGGGCUCCAGGACAGAUCUUAUGUCCACCCCAUCCCCGCUGUGAACGUGCCACUGAAUAAAGUCGGGGAAAUGAG